GAUGAACGCUGGCGGCGUGCCUAAUACAUGCAAGUCGAGCGAACGGACGAGAAGCUUGCUCUUCUGAUGUUAGCGGCGGACGGGCGAGUAACACGUGGAUAACCUACCUAUAAGACUGGGAUAACUUCGGGAAACCGGAGCUAAUACCGGAUAAUAUUUUGAACCGCAUGGUUCAAAAGUGAAAGACGGUCUUGCUGUCACUUAUAGAUGGAUCCGCGCUGCAUUAGCUAGUUGGUAAGGUAACGGCUUACCAAGGCAACGAUGCAUAGCCGACCUGAGAGGGUGAUCGGCCACACUGGAACUGGGACACGGUCCAGACUCCUACGGGAGGCAGCAGUAGGGAAUCUUCCGCAAUGGGCGAAAGCCUGACGGAGCAACGCCGCGUGAGUGAUGAAGGUCUUCGGAUCGUAAACCUCUGUUAUUAGGGAAGAACAUAUGUGUAAGUAAAUCUGCACAUCUUGACGGUACCUAAUCAGAAAGCCACGGCUAACUACGUG
rnacentral:rRNA from 1 species